GGGAAAGCUGUGUCUCAGUGGUAGAGCAUCUGCUUUGCAUGCAGAAUGUCCCAGGUUUGGUCUUUGGAGUUCCCA